rnacentral:rRNA from 1 species
UACGAAGGGGGCUAGCGUUGCUCGGAAUUACUGGGCGUAAAGGGCGCGUAGGCGGAUAGUUUAGUCAGAGGUGAAAGCCCAGGGCUCAACCCUGGAAUUGCCUUUGAUACUGGCUAUCUUGAGUUCGGGAGAGGUGAGUGGAACUCCGAGUGUAGAGGUGAAAUUCGUAGAUAUUCGGAAGAACACCAGUGGCGAAGGCGACUCACUGGCCCGAUACUGACGCUGAGGCACGAAAGCGUGGGGAUCAGACAGG